GACGAACGCUGGCGGCGUGCUUAACACCUGCAAGUCGAACGAAGUGGCGAACGGGUGAGUAACGCGUAAUCAACCUGCCCUUCAGAGGGGGACAACAGUUGGACACGACUGCUAAUACCGCAUACUGAAGGAGGGGAUUGAGGCUUAUUAGCUAGUUGGAGGGGUAACGGCCCACCAAGGGGAUGAGCAGUAGCCGGUCUGUGAGGAGUAACGGCCACAUUGGGACUGGGACACGGCCCAGACUCCUACGGGGGGCAGCAGUGGGGAAUCUUCCGCAAUGGACGAAAGGCUGACGGAGCAACGCCGCGUGAGUGAUGACGGCCUUCGGGUUGGAAAGCUCUGUUAAUCGGGACGCGGUACCGGAAUAGAAAGCCACGGCUAACUACGUGCCAGCAGCCGCGGUAAUUC
rnacentral:rRNA from 1 species